GAUGAACGCUGGCGGCGUGCCUAAUACAUGCAAGUCGAGCGAACAGACGAGGAGCUUGCUCCUCUGACGUUAGCGGCGGACGGGUGAGUAACACGUGGAUAACCUACCUAUAAGACUGGGAUAACUUCGGGAAACCGGAGCUAAUACCGGAUAAUAUAUUGAACCGCAUGGUUCAAUAGUGAAAGACGGUUUUGCUGUCACUUAUAGAUGGAUCCGCGCCGCUUUAGCUAGUUGGUAAGGUAACGGCUUACCAAGGCGACGAUGCGUAGCCGACCUAAGAGGGUGAUCGGCCACACUGGAACUGAGACGCGGUCCAGACUCCUACGGGAGGCAGCGGUAGGGAAUCUUCCGCAAAGGGCGAAAGCCUGACGGAGCAACGCCGCGUGAGUGAUGAAGGUCUUCGGAUCGUAAAACUCUGUUAUUAGGGAAGAACAAAUGUGUAAGUAACUAUGCACGUCUUGACGGUACCUAAUCAGAAAGCCACGGCUAACUACGUG
rnacentral:rRNA from 1 species